UUAUGGCAGAUAUGGCUAUGAAAAGGUCUUUGUAUUAUGUUUUACAAUUGAUGCCACUUUUGUUGAUGAUAUGUUUAUAAAUACAUUAAAUAUUGUUUCAAAAUAUGCUUAUUUUGUGUAUUUUCUAUUGGUUUUCAUCCGAAAAUUUCCAAAUUACAGGUGGCGCCCCCUACGGCCAAGAUAUAUAAAUCAGAUCAAAACAUUAUAUUUAUUUACAGUAGUUAUGGUAAGGUUAACCUACAAACAAGAUUUCAUAAAGAUUGGCAAAUAUUGAUUCCGGACUAUUUUGCAUGGUUUUCUCAUGGACAGGCUCUUAAAUA
rnacentral:lncRNA from 1 species